rnacentral:rRNA from 1 species
GAGAGCUUGCUUUUGAUUAUUUUAGCGGCGGACGGGUGAGUAACGUGUGGGCAACCUACCUUUUACUGUGGAAUAAUCGUUGGAAACGACGACUAAUACCGCAUACGAUUUUCUGAAGGCAUCUUUGGGAAAAGAAAGGAAAUAUUCGGUAAAAGAUGGGCCCGCAUCUGAUUAGCUAGUUGGUGAGAUAAUAGCCCACCAAGGCAACGAUCAGUAGCCGACCUGAGAGGGUGACCGGCCACAUUGGGACUGAGACACGGCCCAAACUCCUACGGGAGGCAGCAGUGGGGAAUAUUGCACAAUGGGCGAAAGCCUGAUGCAGCAACGCCGCGUGAAGGAAGACGGUUUUCGGAUUGUAAACUUCUAUCAAUAGGGAAGAAAGAAAUGACGGUACCUAAAUAAGAAGCCCCGGCUAACUACGUGCCAGCAGCCGCGGUAAUACGUAGGGGGCAAGCGUUAUCCGGAAUUACUGGGUGUAAAGGGAGAGUAGGCGGCAAGGUAAGCGAUAUGUGAAAGCCUUAAGCUUAACUUAAGGAUGGCAUAACGAACUAUCUAGCUAGAGUACAGGAGAGGAAAGCGGAAUUCCUAGUGUAGCGGUGAAAUGCGUAGAUAUUAGGAAGAACACCAGUGGCGAAGGCGGCUUUCUGGACUGAAACUGACGCUGAGGCUCGAAAGCGUGGGGAGCGAACAGGAUUAGAUACCCUGGUAGUCCACGCUGUAAACGAUGAGUGCUAGGUGUCGGGGAGGAAUUCCCGGUGCCGGAGCAAACGCAAUAAGCACUCCACCUGGGGAGUACGACCGCAAGGUUGAAACUCAAAGGAAUUGACGGGGGCCCGCACAAGCG